rnacentral:rRNA from 1 species
UAGGGAAUCUUCGGCAAUGGGGGCAACCCUGACCGAGCAACGCCGCGUGAGUGAAGAAGGUUUUCGGAUCGUAAAGCUCUGUUGUAAGAGAAGAACGUGUGUGAGAGUGGAAAGUUCACACAGUGACGGUAACUUACCAGAAAGGGACGGCUAACUACGUGCCAGCAGCCGCGGUAAUACGUAGGUCCCGAGCGUUGUCCGGAUUUAUUGGGCGUAAAGCGAGCGCAGGCGGUUUAAUAAGUCUGAAGUUAAAGGCAGUGGCUUAGCCAUUGUUCGCUUUGGAAACUGUUAAACUUGAGUGCAGAAGGGGAGAGUGGAAUUCCAUGUGUAGCGGUGAAAUGCGUAGAUAUAUGGAGGAACACCGGUGGCGAAAGCGGCUCUCUGGUCUGUAACUGACGCUGAGGCUCGAAAGCGUGGGGAGCAAACAGG